AACGAACGCUGGCGGCGUGCUUAACACAUGCAAGUCGAACGCGAAAGGGACUUCGGUCCUGAGUAAAGUGGCGCACGGGUGAGUAACGCGUAGAUAACCUGUCUUCGAGUCUGGAAUAAUACACCGAAAGGGGUACUAAUACCGGAUAUUCUUGCAUUUCAUAAGGAGUGUAAGCAAAGGUGGCCUCUGUAUAUGCUACUGCUUGAUGAGGGGUCUGCGUACCAUUAGCUAGUAGGUGGGGUAAUGGCCCACCUAGGCUACGAUGGUUAGCGGGUCUGAGAGGAUGAUCCGCCACACUGGCACUGGAACACGGGCCAGACUCCUACGGGAGGCAGCAGUGAGGAAUAUUGCGCAAUGGGGGCAACCCUGACGCAGCGACGCCGCGUGAGUGAGGAAGGCCUUCGGGUCGUAAAGCUCUGUCAAAGGGAAAGAAAUGUAUAAUGGCUAAUACCUGUUAUAUUUGACGGUACCCUUAAAGGAAGCACCGGCUAACUCCGUG
rnacentral:rRNA from 1 species